UACAGGGGGGGCAAGCGUUGUUCGGAAUUACUGGGCGUAAAGGGGUUGUAGGCGGCCAACUAAGUCCGACGUGAAAUCCCAAAGCUUAACUUUGGAACUGCGUCGGAUACUGGAUGGCUUGAAUUCGGGAGAGGGAUGCAGAAUUCCAGGUGUAGCGGUGAAAUGCGUAGAUAUUGGGAGGAACACCAGUGGCGAAGGCGGCUCACUGGACCGGUACUGACGCUGAUGCGCGAAAGCGUGGGGAGCAAACGGG
rnacentral:rRNA from 1 species